rnacentral:rRNA from 1 species
GAUGAACGCUAGCGACAGGCUUAACACAUGCAAGUCGAGGGGCAGCACGGGAGUAGCAAUACAACUGGUGGCGACCGGCGCACGGGUGAGUAACGCGUAUGCAACCUACCUAUCAGAGUGGAAUAACCCGGCGAAAGUCGGACUAAUACCGCAUAAAACAGGGGCAGCGCCUGGUGAUAUUUGUUAAAGGAAUUCGAUGAUAGAUGGGCAUGCGUUCCAUUAGGUAGGUGGGGAGGUAACGGCUCACCAAGCCGACGAUGGAUAGGGGAACUGAGAGGUUGGUCCCCCACACUGGUACUGAGACACGGACCAGACUCCUACGGGAGGCAGCAGUGAGGAAUAUUGGUCAAUGGGCGGGAGCCUGAACCAGCCAAGUCGCGUGAAGGAAGAAGGAUCUAUGGUUCGUAAACUUCUUUUGCAGGGGAAUAAAGUGCAGGACGUGUCCUGUUUUGUAUGUACCCUGAGAAUAAGGAUCGGCUAACUCCGUGCCAGCCGCCGCGGUAAAAC